GACGAUAUAUUUUAAUUAAAAUAUAUACUCUGCGAGUAUAGGAUAGAGAAUUCUCUUAUCGUUG
rnacentral:tRNA from 1 species